rnacentral:rRNA from 1 species
CUGAUGGCGACCGGCGCACGGGUGCGUAACGCGUAUGCAACCUACCUGUAACAGGGGGAUAACACUGAGAAAUCGGUACUAAUACCGCAUAACACUAUGAGAGGCAUCUCUUGUGGUUGAAAGUUUCGGCGGUUACAGAUGGGCAUGCGUUGUAUUAGCUGGUUGGUAAGGUAACGGCUUACCAAGGCGACGAUACAUAGGGGGACUGAGAGGUUAACCCCCCACCAUUGGUACUGAGACACGGACCAAACUCCUACGGGAGGCAGCAG